CGGCUGAUCAGGAAGGCAAAAGCUUCAGCAUACAGGUCGAAUCGAUGGAGGAUCCCGACUCACUUACAACGAGGGUUGCGGCUUCUCGCGCUUCGGCGGCGGAGGUCACACUCACGGCGGCAAUUCAAACUGGAUGAAAUGGCAAGGUGGGAGUUUUCGUACAGGAAGAAGGGCCAAAUAGGGUUGCGGCUGCGCUUCCUGCGGAGGAACCGUUGGAUGCCCUCCUCCGUGACUGAUGUGUCACGCAUCGGAGUGAAAUGAUGAGAAAAAACCCUAAACUUCCAAAUUGGUUUGGUUUGUGCUUCAACCUCUUUAUUUUCUUUUCGUGCUACUCUUUUAGCAGUUUUGCUAUGGCUGCGUCGUUUUUCUUCAGAUCGAUUCAGCGCCUUCCUCUCCGUACUCCCGGAACCUUCGCCGCCCAACAAAUCCGCCGUUUCCCCUCAUUCUCCAGGAUUCCCGUUGAACUGGGUUGCUGCGGUGCCUCUCUCUUUCCUUUCCACAGCGCGGUGGCGGCGGCGAGGAUGACUUCGCGGCUGAGCUUGGCAUCUCGGAGCAAUCGAGAUAUCUCACAGUGCUUCCUUGGCUACGCUUGCCGAGGACCCUAGAACACUCGACGCUUUAUCAGUACUUGAAUUGUCUGUACUUGGCCUCCCUUGGUUCAUCUUUCAAUCAUCAACAUUCAUGUCUUGUGUUGAGGAUGGUUUUCUUUGCUCAAAAGUUAUUGAUUCGGUUGCUAAUCAUUGAAUAACUAUCCUCGUCUUUUUGUUGCAAACCUGGGAUAGGAUUCUUGAGGAAUUACAUA